AAAUCGGUUCACAAAUCACAUCAACAGUUCAUUCGCGGAUUGGACUGAUCGUAUUGCAGCUGUUCUCGAGUCAACAAAUCACUGAUUCAAUGAUCCGUUCAGAGCGACUCUCCAGUAAAUGAAUUUCACUAUCUGACUGAAAAUUUGCCAAGAACUGGGGGAUCCUCUGAGUGCGCGCGACUGAUGGCGAAAAUUCGCCUGUAUGGUGUCUAUGGAGCCCCUAAAGGGACAUGCCAUGAUGAUGAUCAAAAAAGAAAAAAGAAAAAAAGAAAAAAAAAAGGUCUCUUGUACCAUCAGCUCAAACAUGACCUAAGAGACACAUCACCGGCUUUGGACUCUUGUCAUCACGGUUUACAGUUCCCCAUUUCCCUUUUUACCGGUCUGUCGUUAUCAUAUCCGAUUGAACAGGGUCAAUGGAAAAUACAACUUAUCUAUAACAACAAUGUAUAUGUAACUUAAAAUGUGUUAUACAUUAAAUAAAUGUCAAUCUUUUAAAC